ensembl:lncRNA
ACCCAAUAGGAUGGCAAUCAAAUGUAUUUGUGUGUGUGUGUGUGUGUGUGUGUGUGUGUGUGUGUGUGUGUGUGUGUGUGUGUGUGUGUGUGUGUGUGUGUGUGUGUGUGUGUGUGUGUGUGUGUGUGUGUGUGUGUGCAUAUAUAAGAUUGUAACAUGUAGGUCUAUAGGCAUAUAUAUUCCAUCUGGAGCCAGGCUGGGUUCUCAUUUGUAUAAAGUGUAGAAACUGUGUAACACCAAGUCAAUCUUCCAUUCUGAUGAGUCAUGACAUGGUUCUCAGUUUGGCCCCUAAUGGUAUGGUGCUUGCAGUAAGUUCACAUUAAUUGCACGGGGUUGGGGUUGCUCCACGGAGAGAAAGGAGCCAUUGAAUCCAUGCAGCAUUCAGCGACCAGACACCUGGAUGCGUUGAAAAUAAAAGCCCCUUCAGAAGGACCAUCACGCAAAGAUUUUCGGAGGUAGACUGACACGCAACCUCGAAACGAGAUCACAGUAUGUAUGGACGACGAGGGGAGUGCAAUGGAAUAUUCUAUAGCGGGGGCCAACGAAUGGCUGUUCAUCUUUCCCCAACUUGACGCCCACCCCCCACUACACUGGAUGGGCUCACUAAUCACAAGAGUGUUUUCAGUCAGUGUGUGUGAUGGUGCAAAGUGGUGUGAGCGUCGCCUAGACCUCUGGGUCUCCGUGUUUAACUACUACAUCCAACCAGCACUGGGCCGGUGUUAUCAUCCCUACCUCCACGCUCCCAAUGGCUCUAAUCCGACACUUGUAUCUGCGACUGAAGCACCUGGAGACCAACUGUGGCAUGGCUCUGACAUGCUGUUGCCCCAUGGCAGCCUUCCAGCGGCUGCUGAUUCACUUACAGGGAAGCAGUCAUGUAAAACAGGAGUGCCAAACGCCAAUGCGCAUAAGCCCCGGGCCCAUGCCGCCUGAAACUUUAAUGGGGGUGGGUGGGUGGGGGGGGGGGUGGGGGGGGGGGUGGGGGGGAGACGACACACAACGGCGCAUUAGGCACGCCUGCCUUCUUAUGAUGAUCCACAGCCGGAUGUGUUUUGGGAAUACAUGUGAAUCGAUGAUCACAAUCUCUGUUAAUAGGGAAUAUAGGUCUCGGCUUUCAAAGUACCCCAACCCCCUUCAAAAAAUGUAUGUUCCAUCAUGAAACACUUCCAAUGGUUUGCAGAUAUCGGAUUGAGAACGACUUUAAGCCAUGAUGAUAGUUCUCUGCUGCCCAUCCCCUAGCUACCCGUCUUCCCGUUAACACUCUUCCCAACACUGUGCACUCACACAGUACACGCACACGUACACACACACACACACACACACACACACACACACACACACACACACACACACACACACACACACACACACACACACACACACACACACACACACACACACACACACACACACACACACACACACACGCACACACACACACACACACAUACCCUAUUCUGAUCUUCUGCCUGACUUCCCUCGCCCCAUCACCGGUGCUGUGUGCUCAAUAAUUCAACAAUCCAACACAAGCUCUCAGCUCUUGGGCUUCUUGUGUCUGGGAGACUUUCAAAAUAGCUUCCCCUUAUGCUGUAUUUAUUCAUUUAAUAUGUGUUUUCAUUGUUUCACUUGCCCAUGCUAUGAUGAGUUUUCAACGUACAGUAUAUGUGAGAAACCUGUCCUUAAUAACAAAGGAUCUAUUUACAGAACUAUGGUUCACAUGGAUCAUCUGUGGACAAGCAUGUGCAAUUUAACUAAAAAUUACUCAACCAACCAAUGCAUCCAUUAGUUCCUUCAGUUCCCAUUCAUGGGAGAGCCUGGUUAUGCUCAGCUUGCGGAUGAUUGGAAUUUAUGAUGAACUCAAGACUGUUAAAUAGUAUACAUGGAAACUGUUAAGAUGUUGAUGAUUACUGGUGAUUUUUUCUUUAGAGGUGGCCGUCUUUGAAUUUUUUCUGCGGAUUCCAUCAUACAUUUUCGAUUCUAAUUAAUAUGAGGUGAUGCGUGUAAAGUGGUUGAAGACACCUCAAAUUAAUCGUAAACAAAUACAAAUAACAAUGUUUCAAUGAACGUGAUUCUUGUAGUAAUAUACAAUUACAGAUAGUGUAAUUAAUUACCAGAUGUGAGACAUAUCUCAUUGUUUAAGUAUGAUAUCCAGAUCAUCUGUAUACAAUUUUGCAAUAGAUGUUAGGGAUAUUAGCUACAAUUGGAUCGGGAGAAAUGACAUUUUCAACUGAAAGUAAUGACAUUUUCAGCUAGAGUGUCUAGUCUGUCCCCAUGGCAUUGGAGUGCAUCUUUUACAAAAUCUGUGAAAUAUUUCUGAAACAUUUGCAUUAACGUGAACAGGGAACAAAAUAUGAUAUGAUUUUUAUUAACAAUAUUAUUAACGUAUUAUUAAGAACCACAUAUAUGUCAUACCUGCAUACAAUUAUUUACAGAAUAUAAAUACAGAAUAUAUGCAGAAUAUGUAUUUUUUAUCUUUCUUUUUUUAAGAACAAUUAGAUCUCUUUAUUGGCUACAGCCCUAUAAUUAUAGGUUGGUUUUCUACAUGAAGUGCAUUCAAUACAUAAGGCAAAGUAUAUCAGGGGAUGUUAAUCCAAUGUUAAUCCUUUUUUAGGCUACAUAUUGUAAUUGUUGAAUUUGGCAGCAUUGCCCUGUAUUUCUGCUAACCCUUUUGUGGAGGAGAUAGAAUGAAUGACAACAAAGGAUAUUCCUAUGAGAAGCAGGGCUUGUUAUAGCGUUAUGUUUAUUUGUUAGAAAUCAAAGUGGCAGAAAUGCAACUGCUAUUCACAAGAAGGUUGUAAUUGUUAUCAAAUGUUGUUCAAUGAAGACACUCUGAGAUGUUGAAUUUGUGACAGCGAAUAAAAGAUGUUCAAUAAAAGAUCUAUGCUUGCUGUUGUCCUA